rnacentral:rRNA from 1 species
AACGAACGCUGGCGGCAGGCUUAACACGUGCAAGUCGAGCGCCCCGCAAGGGGAGCGGCAGACGGGUGAGUAACGCGUGGGAAUCUACCCAUCUCUACGGAAUAACGCAUGGAAACGUGUGCUAAUACCGUAUACGUCCUUCGGGAGAAAGAUUUAUCGGAGAUGGAUGAGCCCGCGUUGGAUUAGCUAGUUGGUGGGGUAAAGGCCUACCAAGGCGACGAUCCAUAGCUGGUCUGAGAGGAUGAUCAGCCACACUGGGACUGAGACACGGCCCAGACUCCUACGGGAGGCAGCAGUGGGGAAUAUUGGACAAUGGGCGCAAGCCUGAUCCAGCCAUGCCGCGUGAGUGAUGAAGGCCCUAGGGUUGUAAAGCUCUUUCACCGGUGAAGAUAAUGACGGUAACCGGAGAAGAAGCCCCGGCUAACUUCGUGCAGCCGCCGCGGUAACAC